rnacentral:rRNA from 1 species
GACGAAGGAUGCAAGCGUUAUCCGGAUUUAUUGGGUUUAAAGGGAGCGUAGGUGGCCUUAUAAGUCAGUGGUGAAAGACUGUCGCUUAACGACGGAAUUGCCAUUGAUACUGUAGGGCUUGAGUAUAGUUGCUGUGGGCGGAAUAUGACAUGUAGUGGUGAAAUACUUAGAGAUGUCAUAGAACACCGAUUGCGAAGGCAGCUCACAAAACUAUAACUGACACUGAGGCUCGAAAGUGCGGGGAUCAAACAGG